rnacentral:misc_RNA from 1 species
CGCAGCCGCGGUAAUUCCAGCUCCAAUAGCGUAUAUUAAAGUUGUUGCAGUUAAAAAGCUCGUAGUUGAAUUUCGGGGUUAGCAGGUCGGUCGUGCCAUCGGUAUGAACUGGUCUCGCUGAUCCCUCCCUCUUGACGAACUGUGAUGCCAUUAAUUUGGUGUCGCAGGGAAUCAGGACUGUUACUUUGAAAAAUUAGAGUGUUUAAAGCAGGCUCACGCUUGAAUACAUUAGCAUGGAAUAAUGAAAUAGGACGUUUGAUCCUAUUUUGUUGGCUUCUAGGAUUGACGUAAUGAUUAAUAGGGAUAGUUGGGGGCAUUAGUAUUCAAUUGUCAGAGGUGAAAUUCUUGGAUUUAUUGAAGACUAACUACUGCGAAAGCAUUUGCCAAGGAUGUUUUCAUUAAUCAAGAACGAAAGUUAGGGAUCGAAGACGAUCAGAUACCGUCGUAGUCUUAACCAUAAACUAUGCCGACUAGGGAUCGGAUGAUGUUUAAUUUUUAAUGUACUCAUUC